rnacentral:rRNA from 1 species
GUAGGUGGCAAGCGUUGUCCGGAAUUAUUGGGCGUAAAGCGCGCGCAGGCGAUUCUUUAAGUCUGAUGUGAAAGCCCACGGCUCAACCGUGGAGGGUCAUUGGAAACUGGAGAACUUGAGUACAGAAGAGGAAAGCGGAAUUCCACGUGUAGCGGUGAAAUGCGUAGAGAUGUGGAGGAACACCAGUGGCGAAGGCGGCUUUCUGGUCUGUAACUGACGCUGAGGCGCGAAAGCGUGGGGAGCAAACAGGAUUAGAUACCCUGGUAGUCCACGCCGUAAACGAUGAGUGCUAAGUGUUAGGGGGGUUUCCGCCCCCCUUAGUGCUGCAGCUAACGCAUUAAGCACUCCGCCUGGGAGUACGGCCGCAAGGCUG